CCUGUGAUUGAAGUCGUGGGCGGAGUCCGGCUCCCGUAGGAGUCCGGACGAAGUCUGCCUGCAGUCAGAGUCGGGGAUGAGGUCCGGCUCCCAUAGGAGUCCGGGCGAAGUCUUCCUACAGCCGGAGUCGGGGACGAGGUCCGGCUCCCGUAGGAGUCCGGGCGAAGUCUACCUGCAAGUGAAGUUGGGGCCGAAGUCCAGCUGCCG
rnacentral:lncRNA from 1 species